GAGGUGGGAGGGUUGCUUGAGCCCAGGAGGUAGAGGCUGCAGUGAGUCGUAAUCACACCACUGCACUCCAGCCUGAGUGACAGAGUGAGACCCUGUCUC
ensembl:miRNA